rnacentral:rRNA from 1 species
UACGUAGGGCGCGAGCGUUGUCCGGAAUCAUUGGGCGUAAAGAGCUCGUAGGCGGCCUGUCGCGUCUGCUGUGAAAUCCCGGGGCUUAACCCCGGGCGUGCAGUGGAUACGGGCUGGCUGGAGGCAGGCAGGGGAGAACGGAAUUCCCGGUGUAGCGGUGAAAUGCGCAGAUAUCGGGAGGAACACCGGUGGCGAAGGCGGUUCUCUGGGCCUGUACUGACGCUGAGGCACGAAAGCGUGGGGAGCAAACAGG